rnacentral:rRNA from 1 species
GGUUAAGUGACUAAGCGUACACGGUGGAUGCCUUGGCAGUCAGAGGCGAUGAAGGACGUAUUAACUUGCGAUAAGCCCAGAUUAGGUAG